GACGAACGCUGGCGGCGUGCUUAACACAUGCAAGUCGAACGGUGAAGCGCCUUCCUUUUUGGUGGGUGUGGAUGAGUGGCGAACGGGUGAGUAACACGUGAGUAACCUGCCCCCUUCUUCUGGAUAACCGCAUGAAAGUGUGGCUAAUACGGGAUAUUCUGGGUCUGUCGCAUGAUGGGUCUGGGAAAGAUAUUGUUUCGGUGGGGGAUGGGCUCGCGGCCUAUCAGCUUGUUGGUGGGGUGAUGGCCUACCAAGGCGGUGACGGGUAGCCGGCCUGAGAGGAAGACCGGCCAGACUGGGACUGGGGCACGCCGCGGAGUAUUACGGAAGGUGGCAGUGGGGCUUAUUGGACGAUGGGGGAGGGGGUGAGGCAGCCAUGGGGUGUGAGUGAUCAAGGGCUAAGGGUGGAAGAGCGCCUUUAUUGUGGAUGAGAAGGACAGUACUGGGAGAAUAAGCCCCGGCUAAUACGUU
rnacentral:rRNA from 1 species